rnacentral:rRNA from 1 species
CAGCAGCCGCGGGAAUACGAAGGGUGCUAGCGUUGUUCGGAAUUACUGGGCGUAAAGCGCGCGUAGGCGGUUACUCAAGUCAGAGGUGAAGGCCCGGGGCUCAACCCCGGAACUGCCUUUGAAACUAGGUGACUAGAAUCUUGGAGAGGUCAGUGGAAUUCCGAGUGUAGAGGUGAAAUUCGUAGAUAUUCGGAAGAACACCAGUGGCGAAGGCGGCUCACUGGACAAUAACUGACGCUGAUGCACGAAAGCUAGGGGAGCAAACAGGAUUAGAUACCCCUGUAGUCCCUGUCUCUUAUAC